GAUGAAGAACGCAGCGAAAUGCGAUAAGUAGUGUGAAUUGCAGAAUUCAGUGAAUCAUCGAAUCUUUGAACGCACCUUGCGCCUUUUGGUAUUCCGAAAGGCACACCUGUUUGAGCGUCAUGAAUACCUCAAUCUCCAUCUUUUCUUCGGAUUGAUGGGUGACUUGGAUGUUGAGCCCUGCUGGUAUGCUAUAUCAGCUUGCUUUAAACUUAUUAGCCGGCUCUGUACUGGAUCGGUUUGACUCGACGUGAUAAUAUUAUCGUUGAGGAUGCAUGUCUCAUGCAGCCGGAAAGUAUCAAAGCAGCUUCUAGCUUGCCUUUAGUGCACUUUUACAUUUUAGACCUCAGAUCAGGUGGGACUACCCGCUGAACUUAAGCAUAUCAAUAAGCGGAGGA
rnacentral:misc_RNA from 1 species